rnacentral:rRNA from 1 species
CCCUUAGAUGUUCUGGGCCGCACGCGUGCUACACUGAGUAAUUCAAUGGGUAAGGGAACGCUAGAGCAUUACCUAAUCUUGAAAUUUGCUCGUGAUGGGGAUCGACGGUUGCAAUUUUCCGUCGUGAACGAGGAAUACCUUGUAGGCGCAUGUCAUCAUCAUGCGCCGAAUACGUCCCUGCCCUUUGUACACACCGCCCGUCGCUCCUACCGAUUGAGUGAUCCGGUGAGGCUCUGGGACCUGGACGGAAAGAGCGUUUCGCUUGUUCUGUUUGGGAAACUUGGUCGAACCUUAUCAUUUAGAGGAAGGAGAAGUCGUAGCA